rnacentral:rRNA from 1 species
GGCGGACGGGUGAGUAAUGCGUGGAUAACCUACCUAUAAGACUGGGAUAACUUCGGGAAACCGGAGCUAAUACCGGAUAAUAUUUUGAACCGCAUGGUUCAAAAGUGAAAGACGGUCUUGCUGUCACUUAUAGAUGGAUCCGCGCUGCAUUAGCUAGUUGGUAAGGUAACGGCUUACCAAGGCAACGAUGCAUAGCCGACCUGAGAGGGUGAUCGGCCACACUGGAACUGAGACACGGUCCAGACUCCUACGGGAGGCAGCAGUAGGGAAUCUUCCGCAAUGGGCGAAAGCCUGACGGAGCAACGCCGCGUGAGUGAUGAAGGUCUUCGGAUCGUAAAACUCUGUUAUUAGGGAAGAACAUACGUGUAAGUAACUGUGCACGUCUUGACGGUACCUAAUCAGAAAGCCACGGCUAACUACGUGCCAGCAGCCGCGGUAAUACGUAGGUGGCAAGCGUUAUCCGGAAUUAUUGGGCGUAAAGCGCGCGUAGGCGGUUUUUUAAGUCUGAUGUGAAAGCCCACGGCUCAACCGUGGAGGGUCAUUGGAAACUGGAAAACUUGAGUGCAGAAGAGGAAAGUGGAAUUCCAUGUGUAGCGGUGAAAUGCGCAGAGAUAUGGAGGAACACCAGUGGCGAAGGCGACUUUCUGGUCUGUAACUGACGCUGAUGUGCGAAAGCGUGGGGAUCAAACAGGAUUAGAUACCCUGGUAGUCCACGCCGUAAACGAUGAGUGCUAAGUGUUAGGGGGUUUCCGCCCCUUAGUGCUGCAGCUAACGCAUUAAGCACUCCGCCUGGGGAGUACGACCGCAAGGUUGAAACUCAAAGGAAUUGACGGGGACCCGCACAAGCGGUGGAGCAUGUGGUUUAAUUCGAAGCAACGCGAAGAACCUUACCAAAUCUUGACAUCCUUUGACAACUCUAGAGAUAGAGCCUUCCCCUUCGGGGGACAAAGUGACAGGUGGUGCAUGGUUGUCGUCAGCUCGUGUCGUGAGAUGUUGGGUUAAGUCCCGCAACGAGCGCAACCCUUAAGCUUAGUUGCCAUCAUUAAGUUGGGCACUCUAAGUUGACUGCCGGUGACAAACCGGAGGAAGGUGGGGAUGACGUCAAAUCAUCAUGCCCCUUAUGAUUUGGGCUACACACGUGCUACAAUGGACAAUACAAAGGGCAGCGAAACCGCGAGGUCAAGCAAAUCCCAUAAAGUUGUUCUCAGUUCGGAUUGUAGUCUGCAACUCGACUACAUGAAGUCGGAAUCGCUAGUAAUCG